GACGAACGCUGGCGGCGUGCCUAAUACAUGCAAGUAGAACGCUGAAGGAGGAGCUUGCUCUUCUGGAUGAGUUGCGAACGGGUGAGUAACGCGUAGGUAACCUGCCUGGUAGCGGGGGAUAACUAUUGGAAACGAUAGCUAAUACCGCAUAACAGUAGAUGUUGCAUGACAUUUACUUAAAAGGUGCAAUUGCAUCACUACCAGAUGGACCUGCGUUUUUUUAGCUAGUUGGUGGGGUAACGGCUCACCAAGGCGACGAUACAUAGCCGACCUUAGAAGGUGAUCGGCCACACUGGGACUGAGACACGGCCCAGACUCCUACGGGAGGAAGCAGUAGGGAAUCUUCGGCAAUGGACGGAAGUCUGACCGAGCAACGCCGCGUGAGUGAAGAAGGUUUUCGGAUCGUAAAGCUCUGUUGUAAGGGAAGAACGAGUGUGAGAGUGGAAAGUUCACACUGUGACGGUAUCUUACCAGAAAGGGACGGCUAACUACGUG
rnacentral:rRNA from 1 species